UACGGGGGGGGCAAGCGUUGUUCGGAAUUACUGGGCGUAAAGGGCGCGUAGGCGGCUCGCUAAGUUGGAUGUGAAACUUCUGGGCUCAACCCAGAACCUGCAUUCAAAACUGACGAGCUAGAGUACUGGAGGGGAAAGCGGAAUUCCUGGUGUAGCGGUGAAAUGCGUAGAUAUCAGGAGGAACACCGGUGGCGAAGGCGGCUUUCUGGACAGUAACUGACGCUGAGGCGCGAAAGCUAGGGGAGCAAACAGGAUUAGAUACCCUGGUAGUCCUAGCCCUAAACGAUGGAUACUUGCUGUGAGGGGGAUUGAAUCCCUUCGUGGCGAAGCUAACGCAUUAAGUAUCCCGCCUGGGGAGUACGGUCGCAAGGCUGAA
rnacentral:rRNA from 1 species